UACAAAUUAAACAUGAAGACAGCUUUAUGCACAGCCCGACAAUUCGGGCCAUAUGUUAAGUUGUCGCAAAUGCGUUGUGCUUUCGCCUGUCCGAGUCUUUCCUGUGCUGCUUCAUAAGCUUUUUUAUUUCGCCUGGCCCAAGCACACACACACACACAGACCCAGAGAGAAAGACACAGACACUCGCAUAUUUAUGUGCGAGUUAAUGCGACAUUUCAAGUUGCAAAGCUGAAAAUAGCACGCAUACGCCAUGGAUGCCAGCAUGAGCGCGCCUAUAAAUAAGUAUGUAUAAAUUUAUACACAGACACACAUAUGUACGUAUAGAUCUAUCUGUAUAUGCGUAGCUGUACGUAAAUAGAGCUAAAUAUGGUGGACAAGCCCAGAGCCAUUCCAUAUCGCACUCAGCGCUAUUGCGGUCGACUAUGAAGUUAGUAAGCGGCAUAAAGUAAGCACGAAAUGCCAACUAGACUGGCUAACUAUAGAGGCGACUGUCUGUUGUUCGUAUUAGUGUGGUAGAUCUGGCUGUGUGCGAGUGAGUGCUCGACUGCAUGAGUGUGUGUGUGAGUGCCUCUAUGGCUGGCUGGCCACGCUGACGGCCACAAAACAGCGCACAGAGCAGUAAACAGUGAACAGCGCUUAGUGCCACAUCACGAAUCUUAUCGCAAGCGCACGAAUGCCAGAAACAGCAGCAGCAACAACAACAACAAAAGCAACAACAACAGCAACUAAAAGCCAAAACCCGACAAACUCGAGCCGAGCGUAGGUCGGCUGCAGAACAAACAAGUCAUCUAACAAAUAUACGAAAGAGUAUAUAUGUAUGAAAAAAAAAGAGAGUCAGCAGCAGCAGCAGCA